GUAAAGAAGGCGAGUUUUUUGUAUGAGUCUUUUUAUAUAUAAUUAUAUUUUAUCAAAAUUCAGACUAUAUUUUAUUUUAAUUUUCAAUGUAUAUGCCAAUAUUGAUGGCAUGGAUUAUUGACUGUGAAGCUGUCGCGUAUUGAAAUCGAACAGUCUUUAUCGCUUCGUAAAGAUUGUCUACCAGAAGAUUUUUGAAAAUUUCAGUUAUUUUCGGAGCUAUAGACAUUUUACUGAUCCGGCCUCCAAACUGAUUCGGCUGGGUCUGAGAGCAACAACAUGCACAAUUUGAGCGAUUUCACGGCGCUAUUUUAGGAGUCGAUUUCACGGCGAUACGCUUUCCAUAACCAAAAACCCUACUGCGAAAUUAUAUAUGAAAAGACUGAAGGAAAGAGAAAUUAAAUAUUUUCCAGAGUCUCAGUCGACAUUUAGUACAACAGCAAGUAUGUGCUUCCAGCAUUAGGUGAUAAGAUCAUUUUUUAUCAAUAAAUGUACCAAAUUCCAACGUAUGUAAGGGGCGUUUAACACUAAGAAUAUUAAAUUACCAUCGAACUUAAA